rnacentral:rRNA from 1 species
UACGAAGGGGGCAAGCGUUGUUCGGAAUGACUGGGCGUAAAGGGCGCGUAGGCGGUUCGUUGCGUCAGAUGUGAAAGCCCCGGGCUCAACCUGGGAAUUGCAUUCGAGACUGAAUAGCUAGGGUACGGUAGAGGGAAGCGGAAUUUCCGGUGUAGCGGUGAAAUGCGUAGAUAUCGGAAGGAACAUCAGUGGCGAAGGCGGGUCUCUGGGCCGAUACUGACGCUGAGGAGCGAAAGCGUGGGGAGCGAACAGG